UAAGGAAUAUUGGUCAAUGGACGAAAGUCUGAACCAGCCAUGCCGCGUGGAGGAUGAAGGUCCUCUGGAUUGUAAACUUCUUUUAUAUGGGACGAAAAAAGGUCUUUCUAGAUCGUCUGACGGUACCAGAUGAAUAAGCACCGGCUAACUCCGUGCCAGCAGCCGCGGUAAUACGGAGGGUGCAAGCGUUAUCCGGAUUCACUGGGUUUAAAGGGUGCGUAGGUGGGUUGGUAAGUCAGUGGUGAAAUCUUCGAGCUUAACUCGGAAACUGCCAUUGAUACUAUCAGUCUUGAAUAUUGUGGAGGUUAGCGGAAUAUGUCAUGUAGCGGUGAAAUGCUUAGAUAUGACAUAGAACACCAAUUGCGAAGGCAGCUGGCUACACAUAUAUUGACACUGAGGCACGAAAGCGUGGGGAUCAAACAGGAUUAGAUACCCUGGUAGUCCACGCCCUAAACUAUGGAUACUCGACAUACGCGAUACACUGUGUGUGUCUGAGCGAAAGCAUUAAGUAUCCCCACCUGGGAAGUACGAUCGCAAGAUUGAAACUUAAAUGAAUGACGGGGUCAUAGCUGUUUCCUG
rnacentral:rRNA from 1 species